AUCUGAGCAGGGCUUUCGGUAUUUCUGGUGGGAAUGGGAGGGGAAGGUUCAACGCUUAUAACACCCGAGGCAACAGUGCUUCCGAAUGGAUAGCACUCGACAUCACGUUUAAUAAGUGAGGUCAGAAGGAAAACUAUAUAUUCAUAGCAAUAUCGCAGAGCUUUAUCGGCAUUCAACCGCGACAAAAUGCCAUUAAAGAAGAUUUUCGAGUUUGUGAUCGUUUCGUUUGAAUUUCCUCGUCGUUUCCUGAUCGAUGACAGCCAGCGUCAUAAGAAAAUCCGAGCAAAGAAAUCCCUUUCAGCCUGCAAGUCAAAACAGGAUGUCUGUACCACAGGCAGCCAGAAGAACUAACGAAUUUUUGGCAGCUUUGACUGCCCGCUGACUAAUGCGAAUGGCACAGACGACCGGAACUGAAUGUCAAAACUGGUUUAAUAUCAAGAUCUCAAGAAAUAUUGUUCUUGGUUUAUUUUGUCACGCUUCUCGUUCGUGAUUAACAGUAUUUCGAAACUGCUUUUGUUUAGAAAACAUUGAAGCAACACCAUAGCGAAUAUUGCCUAUAAAGGGAGGCUGAUUAUAUCACGCUUGAUGACGCUCACUCUGAAUCAAUAUUUAUAAAUGCUCUGUGGUUGAUAAAGUUUAAAAGCAAUUCAUUUUAUUGUUACUACCACGAAAUAUUUCAUAAUAUGUAAAUCAAGUCCUUUUCUUUCAAGUCGAAAGUUUACAAAGAGCUUUUUGAAGUAAUGGGUUGAGCCAUGGUUCGUACAACUAUGUACAUUUCCUGCAAGUCACGACACGUUGCUUUGGUUACAUUACUUUAGUUUAUAGCUUUGUAAAAUAUCGGUGAACCUUACACAGUGGAAUGUCUCUGUUCAGACAUAACAGCUACCUGUUUUAAAAAUAUAAAUUUCUGGAGUUGAUGCGGAAGAGAGAGCCUCGUAUGAAAAGACUAUUCUAAUACCUUUGAAAUUCUUGGAGUGCUAAGAUAUUCUUGGCUUUAUCUAGCGGGAUAUUUUUGAAUCUUUUUGGCGGUACGCCCCUCGAAAGAUUCAGGAAACUAGAAAGAAUUUUCUUUUGGAAAAGAGUAACACCAUGGUAACACGAUCUCCACUUAUCUAUCUAUCGUUCUUUCAUGAUCCAUGCUGAGAGUUUGAAACAAUUCUUGUUAUUUUUGGAUUAGAGAGCAUCACAAUUGUUAAAAUUAUAAUCCAGAAUGAGGUAUUCCUACGAAAGCUUCAGCUUGAGUCGUGACGAAACGCGAACAGAAUCACGAACUUAGUACCGCAUUAUUACGACAUGAGUUGAGCAGGGAUAAAGGUCGGCAUUUGCCGAUCACAUGAGGAAUGACUCAUGUUCUUGUCCAUCAACACUAUCAUUAUCAGUUGUGCUGACUGGCAAUCGCCAGGGCCGGGUCGUGAUUAGAGAGAAAUUAUAGAGAAAAUGCAUACAAACUGAACCCAGGCUAGGUCUAGGCGAUGGCUCCGACAUUUCUCUCCGACAUUUUCCUGUUAUAUGGGUGUUAAACAAGGCUGUAUGCUGAGCCCUACGUUAUUUAAUUUAUAUCUUCACGAUCUGCCUGACUCAUUAAAUUCGUGUAACAACAA
rnacentral:lncRNA from 1 species